rnacentral:rRNA from 1 species
UACGUAGGGUGCGAGCGUUAAUCGGAAUUACUGGGCGUAAAGCGUGCGCAGGCGGUUUUGUAAGCCAGAUGUGAAAUCCCCGGGCUUAACCUGGGAAUGGCAUUUGGGACUGCAAGGCUUGAGUUUGGCAGAGGAGACUGGAAUUCCUGGUGUAGCAGUGAAAUGCGCAGAUAUCAGGAGGAACACCGGUGGCGAAGGCGGGUCUCUGGGCCGUAACUGACGCUGAGGAGCGAAAGCGUGGGGAGCGAACAGG